UUUGUGCUGCCACAGCCUCAAGACUAAGCAAUAUGUUUUGCAUACAGCAAGUGUAUAAUUGAUGUAGUUUAUUACUCUGCAGCGAGAUCUGAAUAGAAAAUUGUACACUAAAGGCAGACACAGAAGGAUUUCCUGGUAUGGAGCCAUUCUCUUUUCCAGUCACAUGCCAUCAUUGAGAGACAAUCCAAGUGCAAGGAGUGAAUUUGGUACUGACAGGAAUUGGUUAGACUGCCUAAUAACUUAAUUCAGAUCACAGUUCCUUAAGCUGAGUCGACUCCAACCAGCAAGAGUAGACAGAGAUCUGCUUAUUCUGGUAACUGCAGCUAUUCAAAGAUCAUCUCACUUCUUUGUGACCAUGGCAGUAGAGACAAGAGAGCAUCACCUUCCUAUUCUCACCUGGUGGGGAAAACUGAUGGCAGCAGUCAGAGACCAUGUAUUUGAGGAAGAGACCAUGUGUUAAGGAGCCAAAUAAAAGAGAGGUCAGAGGUGGGCAAGUGGAACCAAAGCAGGAUUGGAUGAAAAUGGUUGAAGACACAGGAGAAAACAGUCUCCUGAGGAUGCCUGGGCACAUCAGGU